rnacentral:rRNA from 1 species
GAGUUUGAUCCUGGCUCAGGAUGAACGCUGGCGGCGUGCCUAAGGCAUGCAAGUCGAACGGGUUUAGACCCGUGGCAGACGGGUGAGUAACGCGUAGGAAUCUACCUUUUGGCGGGGGAUAGCUCAGCGAAAGUUGGGGUAAUCCCGCAUAAAAUCGCAAGAUAAAAGGCCGUAACUGGCCACCGAAAGAGGAGCCUGCGUCCUAUCAGCUUGUUGGUGAGGUAACGGCCCACCAAGGCAAUGACGGGUAGGGGACGUGAGAGCGUGUUCCCCCACAAGGCCACUGAGAUACGGGGCCUACUUCUACGGAAGGCAGCAACUAGGAAUUUUGCGCAAUGGGCGAAAGCCUGACGCAGCGACGCCGCGUGCGGGAUGAAGACCUUCGGGUUGUAAACCGCUGUGGAGAGGGAAAAUAAUGAUGGUACCUCUCUAGAAAGCACCUGCUAACUACGUGCCAGAAGCCUCGGUGAUACGUAGGGUGCAAGCGUUAUCCGGAUUUACUGGGCGUAAAGAGUAUCGUAGGCGGUUUGGUAAGUGACUGGUGAAAUCUCCCGACUCAAUCGGGAAACUGCCGGUCAUACUAUCAAACUGGAGUAGUUUCGGGAUAGCUGGAAUUCUCGGUGUAGGGGUGAAAUCCGUUGAUAUCGAGAAGAACACCAAGGGCGAAGGCAGGCUAUUAGGAACUUACUGACGCUGAUGAACGAAAGCUAGGGGAGCAAACGGGAUUAGAGACCCCGGUAGUCCUAGCCGUAAACAAUGUCCACUAGUUACUUCCCGUUUAGGGAGGCGACGUAAGCUAACGCGUUAAGUGGACCGCCUGGGGAGUACGGCCGCAAGGCUAAAACUCAAAGGAAUUGGCGGGGAAACGCACAACCAGGGGAGCAUGUGGUUUAAUUCGAUACGAAGCGUUGAACCUUACCUGGGCUUGACAUUCUAAUGAUCGACUAGGGAAACUUAGUUUUUGCGCAAGCACAUUAGAACAGCUGCUGCAUGGCUAUCGUAAGCUCGUACCGUGAGGCGUCGGUUUCAGUACCGUAACGAGCGCAACCCCUUUGACGUGUUAAAUAUUCACGUCAGACUGCCCCGAUUUAAUCGGGGAGGAAGGCGGGGACGACGUUAAGUCAGCACGGCGCUUACGCCCAGGGCAACACACAUCCUACAAUGGUGAGGGGCAAAGGGUUGCGAAACCGCAAGGCGGAGCUAAUCCCAUAAACCCUCCCUCAGUUCAGAUUGCGGGCUGAAAUUCGCCCGCAUGAAGCCGGACUUGGUAGUAAUCGCGGAUCAGCAGACCGCGGUGAAUACGUUCUCGUUUCUUGCACACACCGCCCGUCACAUGAGGAGAGUCGACAGCGCCCGAAAGCUCGAUUUUAUCGGGUCUAAGGUGAGGCCGAUAAUCAGCGUGAAGUCGUAACAAGGUAACCGUA